rnacentral:rRNA from 1 species
UACGAAGGGGGCUAGCGUUGCUCGGAAUCACUGGGCGUAAAGCGCACGUAGGCGGAUUGCUAAGUCAGGGGUGAAAUCCUGGAGCUCAACUCCAGAACUGCCUUUGAUACUGGCGGUCUCGAGUCCGGGAGAGGUGAGUGGAACUGCGAGUGUAGAGGUGAAAUUCGUAGAUAUUCGCAAGAACACCAGUGGCGAAGGCGGCUCACUGGCUCGGUACUGACGCUGAGGUGCGAAAGCGUGGGGAGCAAACAGG